AGCUGUGCUGGAAGAGCCUGUGCUUCUAACGGUGGCCCUUCACCUUUUCCAGAUAAUAUCACAUUCUUCAGAGGCUCAGACACCCACCAUCUUACCUGCAGGCUACGCAGAGGGCAGAGAGCAAAGCAAGUGCAAAGAAGACAGUCCCUGUUAAAAUUGCCAGCAUCAUUAUGUUUUCCAUUCUCUCCUGCCUUACAGCAUCCACGGGGUUGGGUUCUGUGAUGUUCUUGUAUUCAAAGAGCAUUGCGAAGCCUCUGCCCCGGUUGGUGGUGGUAAUGAGUUCCAUGAUAACCUCAACCAUUUCCAGAGAUGAACCAAAGACCAUGGUCUUGUUUAGAGGUGAAUUUGGUCCACAGAAACGAGAGGAAAACGUGAUGAGAUCUGAAACAUACAGUACAUCGUGGGGACAGACAUCCACUGCUGGCUGUUGGCUGGAGAUUUCCACUGGCAGCAUUGUUGUGGGAAGCGUCCAGCUCUCUCCCAGACUUUCAUCUCUCUCACUAGCAGCUAGGUGGGCAAACAAAAUAUUGCCUUUCCAACCUUCUUUUGUUUCUUGGCUGCUAACAUUUUGUCUCUGUGUUGUGGCACCACCAGAAUCAGGUAAUGGCUGUUCUUCUGUUUGAGUCUCCGUAAUCGCUUGUGGUUCCUUCAUCUGUUUUGACUGGUUUCCUUCGGACAUCUGUUUGGCUUCAUCUUUCUUUGAGGCUGCUCCUGGAAGUUCAUCUAGGUGGCCAGGAAGUCCUUUUGACUGAUCUCCUGCGCCGCUCAGAUUCUGAGCUGCCUUCGACAUCCAGCUCUGAAGAGGGGAUUUUGUAGUCUGAAGAACAAAGUCCAGGUUUUCCUCGGGAGGAGUCACGUCCUUAUUUCCUGUUAUUGCAGCGGCUGGAAAGCCAUCCCAGGGGGUUGGAGUUUCACUAGAGCUCUCAAAAAUGUCAAAGUCAAAAAUUUCCAAGAUAAGAUGUGUUCUUAUGGGAAUGAAAAACUGCCAAACACAGUGUGUCCCUGGGUAGUAGUUGUUUGGAAAUCCUGGUGAUAAAAUCAGGCCUCUUUCCAUUGACUCCACCACCGCACCACAGGAAUAAUAGACCUGGGAAAUAAGACAAGUACACUUAUUUCUUGCCAGAGGCAAUAUACAGGACGCAGCACGCUGGACCUAAGCAAGGUCCUACCCCUUCACUUUAGUGACUGGUGUAAAGUAGACUUUUACAGGCUUCAUGAAUUCUGAGUUCUUGAGGCUAUCUUCUGCUUUCACAUUUAGAGCCUUAAUCUCUAAUAUGGACAACCAAUCUUAGAGACUGCAAGAGUGCAUACUGAGCACACAGCUUCUGCAGAAAUAUAAUCCAGAUGAACAAUUCAUGAAAUGUUCAUGUUCUAUCCCUAUUUCUAUUAUAAUAGAGUCCCUUUCUGCUUUUGCCUAAUGCACAUUCCCAGGUUAUUGAAUCCUGAAUACAUUUGUUGUUGACACACAACUCUUCACUGCACAAAUGUGUCAUCCUAAACAGCCUGUAGUGUGAUAAAAACCUUAAGCUGAAGAAAAACUGUGUCAC
ensembl:lncRNA